ACGGGAGGCAGCAGCCGCGGUAAUACGUAGGGUGCAAGCGUUAAUCGGAAUUACUGGGCGUAAAGCGCGCGUAGGUGGUUCGUUAAGUUGGAUGUGAAAUCCCCGGGCUCAACCUGGGAACUGCAUCCAAAACUGGCGAGCUAGAGUAGGGCAGAGGGUGGUGGAAUUUCCUGUGUAGCGGUGAAAUGCGUAGAUAUAGGAAGGAACACCAGUGGCGAAGGCGACCACCUGGGCUCAUACUGACACUGAGGUGCGAAAGCGCGGGGAGCAAACAGGAUUAGAUACCCUGGUA
rnacentral:rRNA from 1 species